GACAGAGAGGACAGCUUUAACUGAUUACAAACUAGAAAAUACAGGAAUAACUAUUGAAAAAGGUAUAAGGGUAGCAUUCCUUGUAUAUGCAUGCAUUACGAUCCAGAAUUUUUUCCUGAACCCGAAAAGUUUCUUCCUGAAAGAUGGUUUCUGUUCAAACAGUGACUGCGAAAUAAACUGCAUGAGAAAAACUUCCACUGCAAAACUCCAGUUCGUAAGCCUGUUUUGAGUGAUCUUCAUAUUCAAGAGAAACUGAAUUUUUGUAAUCAGGUUUCUAGUUGGGAAGUUUCUGAAUGGAGUAACGUUCUGUUUAGCAAUGGAAGCUGCAUUUAGUCUGAUUAUUCUGGGCGUAUAAGAGUUUAGAGACCUCCGGGUCAACAUUCCAAUCCCUUAUAUUUUCAGAAAACAGGAAAAGUGGCCGAUUUUCAAUUUCUGUUUGGCGUCGCAUGUCUGUUAACAGACUUGGAACUCUACACAUAAUUCAAGGCAAUCUGGAUGCAACUUGCUAUCGCGACAUUCUUGAGAAUAUUAUGAUGCCAGAAGUAAUUGGUGAACCACUUCUUUUACGGGGUAUUUUAUUUUCAGCAUGAUAAAUCUCCAAUUCAUUGUGCAAGCAUUGUCAAAGAAUGGUUGGAUCAGCAAGCUUUCAGCUUCAUGUCAUGGCCAAGCAAAAGAGCAGAUCUAAACCCCAUUGAGAAAUUUGGUCUCGUCUGAAAAUUACUAUCAGUUACAGAGGCAUACAGAUGAGCUGUGGGAUGCCACACCGUCAUCUUAGCAACUCAUGCAGUCUGAUCCAAGAUUAGCUCAGUCGUUGGUUUAUCAAUGCCCAUCGCAUUCAAAAUGUCAUACAAAAAAGAGGAGGAAUAACGAUGUGCUAAAGCUCCUUUGGGAAAUUUAAUUUAUUGGAUUGUUUUUAUGACUAUCCCGGAUUUUAUUGAAUGUAAAAAUUAUCUCUAAUUAAUAUAAUGUCUGUAAAUAAAAAACAAAAAAUUCUUAAA